AUCUAAUUAAUAUCUAAAAUUGGAUCUAGGUGUCCAGGAUUGAUCUUGCACCGACAAGGUGUCAAGGUCAUCAAGGUUCUCAAGCUGGGGAUUGGUGAGGAGAAGAGCCUUAUCUCAAGCUGGCUCUGAGAGAUGGGGAUUCGGAAAAGCCCAACGAGAGAGCACGAGAGCUGGGCGGUGAGGGAGGCAGAGAAAUGGAUGUGAUGGACCAAGAUGAGGGAUGGGAUCCAG
rnacentral:lncRNA from 1 species